rnacentral:rRNA from 1 species
GACGAACGCUGGCGGCGUGCUUAACACAUGCAAGUCGAACGGAAAGGCCCUGCUUUUGUGGGGUGCUCGAGUGGCGAACGGGUGAGUAACACGUGAGUAACCUUCCCUUGACUUUGGGAUAACUUCAGGAAACUGGGGCUAAUACCUGAUACGAGCUCCUGCUGCAUGGUGGGGGUUGGAAAGUUUCGGCGGUAGGGGAUGGACUCGCGGCUUAUCAGCUUGUUGGUGGGGUAGUGGCUUACCAAGGCUUUGACGGGUAGCCGGCCUGAGAGGGUGACCGGCCACAAUGGGACUGAGAUACGGACCAGACUCCUACAGGAGGCAGCAGUGGGGAAUAUUGCACAAUGGGCGGAAGCCUGAUGCAGCAGCGCCGCGUGCGGGAUGACGGCCUUCGGGUUGUAAACCGCUUUAGCCUGUGACGAAGCGUGAGUGACGGUAAUGGGUAAAGAAGCACCGGCUAACUACGUG